GCCCUCUAGUUCCCUUUCCCAUCAGAUCUGAACACUGGUCUUGGUGGUUGUAAAGGAGGAAAGGGAACACUGAAGCUGGCCUCAUGGCCUUAUAGUCUGAUAUGUAGCACGUGGGUGAGAUUCAGAUACAC
ensembl:snoRNA